ACUCACCACCUUUUCAAGCCUCUGCCAUUUCAUUCUUCUAUCAAUUUUGUCAAACCUUCUAGCAAGGUGCUUGAAAAUAGUACGUUAACUCCCUUACCCUUCCCCUAAACACACGUACACGCACCACACUUGAGCUAUGUCUGCCGCUGACUUCGAGGCCGCCGUGGCGUACGUGCGCUCCCUGCCCAAGGACGGUCCAGUGCAGCUGGACAACGCCGCCAAGCUUCAGUUUUACUCCCUGUACAAGCAGGCGACGGAGGGUGACGUGACAGGCAACCAGCCGUGGGCCGUGCAGGUCGAGGCGCGUGCCAAGUGGGAUGCGUGGAACUCUCGCAAGGGCAUGCGGUCGGAGGACGCCAAGGCGGCGUACGUGCAGUGCCUGAUCGAGGUCACAUCCCAGAAGGGCCACCCGUGGAACCCUGCGUAGGCAUUCGACGCAAAUAAGCAGCGUGGGCGUGCACGCGCGGCGCACGCACCGGCCACAGACUAAACGAGUGUUAAACCGCACACGUCCCUCUGUCUGUGCGCGGGGUCUUUCUGCAUGCAGUGUCGCGCAUUGCAGUGCCCGUGUGCGGUUUUCGAUGACGUUAGACCGCGCGGCAGCUCAUUCACGACAUUAAGGCAGGAGAGAAGCAUGAACUGUGCCGAAGAGCACGAGGAGAGAAAAGGAUACAAGGGGUUGGGUGGAGCGGGUGUGUAGAAGUGCCACCGCUGCCUAGGGAAGCUGUAAUCGCAGAACGAAGUUUGCGGUUUCUCGGUUGGGGCCUGCGCGCUGGUGCGUGAGUCGGAGGCGAGAGAGGGAGAGGAGGGGCACCCAAAGACGCACGCACCUGCUUCCGGCGUGUCUAUCGGCCACUCCCUGUGCUUGUCUUUCUCUCGUCAAGUACUACGCUGCUUCUCCGUCCUCCUCACCCACACCUACACCCACCAUCCCUCUCUUUACUUAUCCAACCGUGUGGACAUCUCGCGCGCAUUUCUCUCCUCGUUCUGCUUCACACUGCGUUGGUGCGCUUGCUGUUGCUUCGUCCCCCUCCUCCGCUUCCUUCCUUCCCUCCCUCCCUCCUCCUCUUUUCUAUGUCUAUGUUUUCCUGUCUAUAAGUGAUUGGCUGUCUGUCCACCUUUUCGUCAAAUUUCUUCUGUCUUGUGCUGCUGUUGUGAUGGACGUGCCCGCCAACACACAUUGAGCCUGCGCAUCAUUGUUGCUCUCGACGUCACAAACACACCGAAACAUGUUGGACUUUUAUUAGCUGUGUUUUGCUUCGCCGCUCCCUCAAUGUGAGUCCACGUCUCUUCCACACAGCAUGAGGUCCCGUUCCACUCUCGAGCCUCCGACCCUGCCCUGCCACAGGCCACCCGUCGCGUGGCGCGAAGCAGCCGUAGACACACGCCGGCGCGGCACUGCGCCAACUCGGGCAUCGCAGCACGGCCUCUGCCUCGAGCCCUCCUCACCCACCCGCCUUGCAGUGCCGCCUCACAGCCGCUCCCCAUUUGUGCCGGUGGCCGCGUGGUGCAUCUCCCGCGGUGGCGCAGGCUCCCUCCACCGGUGGGCGGCGAGGGCGGGGCGGGAUGUGCUCGAGUCGCGCUGGCGCCUCGUCGAUCGUAUGGAUGGUGCAGGCGUGCUCGCGGUCUCGGGUCGCUCCGACGCCACGCCGUCGAGGGUGUGGCCGUCGGCAUCGGUGGCGAUGAGGCGCCCUGACUUUGCCACGUCGCAGGCGCUCGGCCCUGUGACCGCCGGAAGUGGCUCUGGCACUUGGCAGGGACAGAGGGACCGCCUGGCUUCCUCACACAGUGGGGGUGCUGGACCCUGAGAUGCCACGCACGGAGGUCUCCCCAGCUAUCAGGGUAUGAGGGUGGUUGGGGAUGAAAAGAAAAACAAUGCGCUUCCACUCCUCUUUCGCCGCUGCGGUCCCCCCUGCCGCUGUUCUUCGCAGAGCUGCCAACCACUUG
rnacentral:misc_RNA from 1 species